UUCAAAGAGUGGGGCUCAACCCCAUAGGGGGAGUGGAAACUGUUUAGCUAGAGUAUGGUAGGGGCAGAGGGAAUUCCCAGUGUAGCGGUGAAAUGCGUAGAUAUUGGGAAGAACACCAGUGGCGAAGGCGCUCUGCUGGACCGAGACUGACGCUGAGGGACGAAAGCUAGGGGAGCGAAAGGGAUUAGAUACCCCUGUAGUCCUAGCUGUAAACGAUGGACACUAGGUGUUGCGCGUAUCGACCCGUGCAGUGCCGUAGCUAACGCGUUAAGUGUCCCGCCUGGGGAGUACGCACGCAAGUGUGAAACUCAAAGGAAUUGACGGGGGCCCGCACAAGCGGUGGAGUAUGUGGUUUAAUUCGAUGCAACGCGAAGAACCUUACCAGGGUUUGACAUCCCUCGAAUCUCUGCGAAAAGUGGAGAGUGCCUUCCNGNANCGAAGAAACAGGUGGGGCAUGGCUGUCGUCAGCUCGUGUCGU
rnacentral:rRNA from 1 species